rnacentral:rRNA from 1 species
UGAAACACGGACCAAGGAGUCUAGCGUAUGUGCGAGUCAUUGGGUGGUAAACCUAUUGGCGCAGCGAAAGUAAAGGUCGACUUGUUCGGCUGAUAUGGGAUCCGUGUAGUUUCUGCUGCGCGGUGCACCAUAGCCCUGUCUCGAAGACUUGUCUUGAGAUGGAGAUAGAGCGCAUACGCUAGGACCCGAAAGAUGGUGAACUAUACGUGAGCAGGACGAAGCCGGAGGAAACUCUGGUGGAAGUCCGUAACGGUUCUGACGUGCAAAUCGAUCGUCUGACUUGCGUAUAGGGGCGAAAGACUAAUCGAACCAUCUAGUAGCUGGUUCCCUCUGAAGUUUCCCCCAGGAUAGCAGGAGUUCAUAUCAGUUAUAUUCGGUAAAGCGAAUGAUUAGAGGAAUUGGGGGCGUAAAGCCCUCAACCUAUUCUCAAACUUUCAAUGGGUAUGAAGUUUCGGUUUCUUAAGUGAACCGUGACGCUGAAUGAGAGCUCCCAGGGGGCCAUUUUUGGUAAGCA